AUUGAACGCUGGCGGCAUGCCUUACACAUGCAAGUCGAACGGCAGCACGGGAGCAAUCCUGGUGGCGAGUGGCGAACGGGUGAGUAAUAUAUCGGAACGUGCCUGGUCGUGGGGAUAACGUAGCGAAAGCUACGCUAAUACCGCAUACGAUCUACGGAUGAAAGCGGGGGAUCGCAAGACCUCGCGCGAUUGGAGCGGCCGAUAUCAGAUUAGCUAGUUGGUGGGGUAAAGGCCUACCAAGGCGACGAUCCAUAGCUGGUCUGAGAGGAUGAUCAGCCACACUGGGACUGAGACACGGCCCAGACUCCUACGGGAGGCAGCAGUGGGGAAUAUUGGACAAUGGGCGGCAAGCCUGAUCCAGCAAUGCCGCGUGCAGGAUGAAGGCCUCGGUUGGUUAACGUAGUACGUUUGUUACGGUUAACGG
rnacentral:rRNA from 1 species